AUUGAACGCUGGCGGCAGGCCUAACACAUGCAAGUCGAACGGUAGCACAGAGAGCUUGCUCUCGGGUGACGAGUGGCGGACGGGUGAGUAAUGUCUGGGAAACUGCCUGAUGGAGGGGGUAUAACUACUGGAAACGGUAGCUAAUACCGCAUAAUGUCGCAAGACCAAAGAGGGGGGUACCUUCGGGUCCGUCUUGCCAUCAGAUGUGCCCGACGAUGGG
rnacentral:rRNA from 1 species